rnacentral:rRNA from 1 species
AACGCUACGGCGGCUUACCAUGCAGUCGAGGGGUAUAGUUCUUCGGGAACUAGAGACGGCGCACGGGUGCGUAACGCGUAUGUAAUCUACCUUUUACAGGGGGAUAGCCCAGAGAAAUUUGGAUUAAUACCCCAUAGUAUGUUGCAGUGGCAUCACUAUAGACAUUAAAGUUCCAACGGGUAAAAGAUGAGCAUGCGUCCCAUUAGCUAGAUGGUAAGGUAACGGCUUACCAUGGCAACGAUGGGUAGGGGUCCUGAGAGGGAGAUCCCCCACACUGGUACUGAGACACGGACCAGACUCCUAACGGGAGGCAGCAGUGAGGAAUAUUGGACAAUGGGCGCAAGCCUGAUCCAGCCAUGCCGCGUGCAGGAUGACGGUCCUAUGGAUUGUAAACUGCUUUUGUACAGGAAGAAACACUCCCUCGUGAGGGAGCUUGACGGUACUGUAAGAAUAAGGAUCGGCUAACUCCGUGCCAGCAGCCGCGGUAAUACGGAGGAUCCAAGCGUUAUCCGGAAUCAUUGGGUUUAAAGGGUCCGUAGGCGGCUUUAUAAGUCAGUGGUGAAAGCCCAUCGCUCAACGAUGGAACGGCCAUUGAUACUGUAGAGCUUGAAUUAU